CUCUCUCUCUCUCCUUCAGAUUCAGCGUAUUCCUCCAUUAGAGAGCAGUAUGAUUGCACUGGAGACAUUGCUGGGUCAAGAUGAGACCAUUUCUGUUGAAGAGUUGUUAGACAAUCCGUCUGAUUCUCCUGUGCUGGUCAAUGGACGUGCAGUAAUGGAAAAAA
rnacentral:lncRNA from 1 species